CUCAGUAGCUCGAGGAAAAGAAAUCAACCGAGAUUCCCCCAGUAGCGGCGAGCGAACGGGGAGCAGCCCAGAGCCUGAAUCAGUGUGUGUGUUAGUGGAAGCGUCUGGAAAGGCGCGCGAUACAGGGUGACAGCCCCGUACACAAAAAUGCACAUGCUGUGAGCUCGAUGAGUAGGGCGGGACACGUGGUAUCCUGUCUGAAUAUGGGGGGACCAUCCUCCAAGGCUAAAUGCUCCUGACUGACC
rnacentral:rRNA from 1 species